rnacentral:rRNA from 1 species
AUGAAGAUUGGCAAGAACCUAUGGACCAGGGAAGAGUGGUACCUUACGUCGUGGGCUUCGGCCAAUGACCCUGCCACAGGGAAGUUUCGCUACAUUACUGACGGAGAAGGUGUGCCACAAAACAUACUCUUGGAUGGUGACAAAAUGAUCUACCGGUCGGGACCAUGGAAUGGCCUACUGUUCAGCGGUGUCACGGAGAUGGCCUCGUAUUCUGACAAGUUUGCUUACCAGUUGACAAGCAGCCCAAGUGAGGUAACCUACAGCUAUGUUUCCGCUGAAGCCUCCUUCUCGCGUCUGCUUCUGACCGAUGACGGAGUAUACCAACGCCUGGUAUGGGACCCGACCAGCCGGUCAUGGAAGAUCUUCUUCCAAGCACCGAGGGACAUCUGCGACCACUAUGGCAGGUGUGGGGUAUUCGGUCUGCGCAAUGCCAAUGCUCCAUCAACGUCGUUCUGCAGCUAUGUACAGGGGUUCAACCCAACAUCUCCAGUGCAGUGGAAGAUGAGGGACACCUCCAAUGGUUGCCGCCGAAACAUGGUACUGGACUGUGGCAAUGGAAUGUCCAGUACCACAGACGGUUUCGUGGUGAUAGACGGAGUGAAGCUUCCCGACACGCACAAUGUAUCGGUGAAUGCUAGCAUCACGUUGGAGGAGUGCAGGACGAGGUGCCUGGCCAACUGCUCUUGUAUGGCGUAUGCGCCGUUGGAUCUCAAAGGAGGAGGCGCUGGAACUGGCUGCAUCAUCUGGACAGAGGACCUCAUGGAUCUCCGGUAUGUAGAUGGAGGCAAAUCCUGUAUCUCAGAUCCACCAAGUCAGAAUUAG